UACGUAGGGUGCGAGCGUUGUCCGGAAUUACUGGGCGUAAAGAGCUCGUAGGUGGUUUGUCGCGUUGUCCGUGAAAACUCACAACUCAAUUGUGGGCGUGCGGGCGAUACGGGCAGACUGGAGUACUGCAGGGGAGACUGGAAUUCCUGGUGUAGCGGUGGAAUGCGCAGAUAUCAGGAGGAACACCGGUGGCGAAGGCGGGUCUCUGGGCAGUG
rnacentral:rRNA from 1 species